GACGAACGCUGGCGGCGUGCUUAACACAUGCAAGUCGAACGGCAAGGCCCUGCUUUUGUGGGGUGCUCGAGUGGCGAACGGGUGAGUAACACGUGAGUAACCUGCCCUUGACUUGGGUUAACUUCAGGAAACUGGGGCUAAUACCGGAUAGGAGCUCCUGCUGCAUGUUGGGGGUUGGAAAGUUUCGGCGGUGGGGGAUGGACUCACGGCUUAUCAGCUUGUUGGGGGGGUAGUGGCAUACCAAGGCUUUGACGGGUAGCCGGCCUGGGAGGGUGACCGGCCACAUUGGGACUGAGGUACGGCCCAGACUCCUACGUGAGGCAGCAGUGGGGAGUAUUGCACAAUGGGCGGAAGCCUGAUGCAGCAACGCCGCGUGCGUGAUGACGGCCUUCUGGUUGUAAACCGCAUUCGCCUAUGACGAAGCGUGAGUGACGGUAAUGGGUGAAGAAGCACCGGCUAACUACGUG
rnacentral:rRNA from 1 species